rnacentral:rRNA from 1 species
ACUCCUACGGGAGGCAGCAGUGGGGAAUAUUGCACAAUGGGGAAACCCUGAUGCAGCCAUGCCGCGUGUGUGAAGAAGGCCUUCGGUUGUAAAGCACUUUCAGUAGGGAGGAAGGUAGUGUAGUUAAUACCUGCAUUAUUUGACGUUACCUACAGAAGAAGCACCGGCUAACUCCGUGCCAGCAGCCGCGGUAAUACGGAGGGGUGCGAGCGUUAAUCGGAAUUACUGGGCGUAAAGCGCAUGCAGGCGGCCUGUUAAGUCAGAUGUGAAAGCCCGGGGGCUUAACCUCGGAAUUGCAUUUGAAACUGGCAGGCUAGAGUCUUGUAGAGGGGGUAGAAUUUCAGGUGUAGCGGUGAAAUGCGUAGAGAUCUGAAGGAAUACCAGUGGCGAAGGCGGCCCCCUGGACAAAGACUGACGCUCAGAUGCGAAAGCGUGGGGAGCAAACAGGAUUAGAUACCCUGGUAGCACAGAG